AGUGAACGCUGGCGGUAGGCCUAACACAUGCAAGUCGAACGGCAGCACAGUAAGAGCUUGCUCUUACGGGUGGCGAGUGGCGGACGGGUGAGGAAUACAUCGGAAUCUACUUUUUCGUGGGGGAUAACGUAGGGAAACUUACGCUAAUACCGCAUACGACCUACGGGUGAAAGCAGGGGAUCUUCGGACCUUGCGCGAUUGAAUGAGCCGAUGUCGGAUUAGCUAGUUGGCGGGGUAAAGGCCCACCAAGGCGACGAUCCGUAGCUGGUCUGAGAGGAUGAUCAGCCACACUGGAACUGAGACACGGUCCAGACUCCUACGGGAGGCAGCAGUGGGGAAUAUUGGACAAUGGGCGCAAGCCUGAUCCAGCCAUACCGCAUGGGUGAAGAAGGCCUUCGGGUUGUAAAGCCCUUUUGUUGGGAAAGAAAAGCAGCAGGUUAAUACCCCGCCGUUCUGACGGUACCCAAAGAAUAAGCACCGGCUAACUUCGUG
rnacentral:rRNA from 1 species